CCGCCGUUUGAACACCAGUCGGGUUGAAGGAUCUGCUGGCGGUUGUCUCGCACGGCUGCCCGUGGGAGGCUUCGCAGGGCCGUGGUGUUCCAGCAGGGCCUCAGCGUGAUGACGUAGCCUGGGGGCAAAGACGCAGCCUCGC
rnacentral:lncRNA from 1 species